GCUAGCUACAAAGCAGAGCUACUGAGAAGCCGUUGAAGAUUCUUUUUUUUGCACAGUGUUCUGUACCACUCCAUCAGCUGAAUCUCUUGGACAGAGAAAGAAUAUGUUCCUGUAAGCCCUCUAACGUGGCCCCAAGCAGCAGAAAGGUUCACACAUCCCCUAUGGAGCCGUGUGACUUCAGUGGAGGCAGCGACUGACUGUGCUGGCAGAGGUUACUUUUCCAGUUCCCGCUCGUGGUCAGACAAUUCAGAGUGGAAGUUACAAGAGAUUUGUUGACACUGUCCUAUUGAAGGAGAUGGGAAAAAGAUGCCUAUGACAGAAAGAACAAGCUGCUUUUAGAUCUGUGUUCAACAAGGAAUUCAUGAUGCUUGUCUGCAAGGUCCUAUUGCAAUUAUUACUGAUGGGUAAUGAAACCAACUUGACGAAGAGCUGUGAAAAUGUGACCCCUUGCUUCCUUUGUUUCUAGGGCCUGACUAGAAGGGAAGUACUGGAGCUUGGGGACAGACAGUGAGAAAGGCAGACUGCAAGAGUGUGUGGCCUCAAGUCCAAAAGCCACUAAAUGAGGAGAGCUAUCAGCUGGGAAGUCCCCUAAGCAUCCCAGCUGCCCCAGAGAAAGUGGCUUAUGGACCCACACUAAUGGUACAGCCUGCUAUGAACUGUAGGAGAGGAGCUUCCCCCCUCAGCUUUUCUAACCCUAAUCCUGUCCCAGCUCCUGAAGGAGGUGGGAGAGAAGGAGAGACUGUGAGGAGCCAAGGCCAGACAGAGGAGGGAUGCCCAAGGACCAGGGAGGUCAUUCCUGGCACACAGACAUGAUGAGCUCUCCACCAAGAUUCUGGAUUUCAGCUUUAACCUGGCUGCAGAUCUUGAGCUGAUGGGAGUACAGCUUGAUCUGUUCUAGGAAACUGCUCAGCUUCGCAUAUUGAAAAAGCAAAGAUACAUCCCCACCAACUGCACACUCUCAACAAUCACCUGUGGUCUUACUGAAACUUCUGCUCAUAUGAAUUGUGGUCAAGGGAUUUAAAUCCAAAACCUGCCAGGAGUCAGAAAAAGCACCAACUCUGCUCAAUUCCAAAAAUAUUUCAGCCCCUGGCUUUACUGAAGAAACAGGAUGUGCUCAAAGGGCUGAUGUGACGAUUCUCCAUGGCUGUGCAAUGAUGUUUGUUAAGCAAGUUCAGGCUUUAGACUUAGCAAAAGGUAACAGUAAAUAAGUGUUGCGGUGAACCAUGACCAACCCCAGGGCCAGCCCCAAAAGCCUUAACAGAGCAGCCAAGAGGCUGUGCUCCAUAUCUUACCUGUAGCUGCAGCUCUCCCUUUCCCAUAUUUCUCAUUUUCGGUUGUAUUUCCAAAGAGUUCUAUGUUCUUCAGCAGCUAAUUGGUCUGUGUUACUCCUCCCCUCCUACCACUUCCCCCAUUGGCUGUAACCCCUUCUCCCUGCCCCAGUAAGACCCCCUGGCUGAUGUAUCAUUGGUUACUGUGUAUUUUCUGCGCCUGUUUGUCGGGUUCGUGGCUGGUGUUUCCUCGUGGGUUUUUACCCUGCAAUAAAUGCUCCUCCCCCAC